rnacentral:rRNA from 1 species
UGGGGAAUAUUGCACAAUGGGCGCAAGCCUGAUGCAGCCAUGCCGCGUGUAUGAAGAAGGCCUUCGGGUUGUAAAGUACUUUCAGCGAGGAGGAAGGCAUUAAGGUUAAUAACCUUAGUGAUUGACGUUACUCGCAGAAGAAGCACCGGCUAACUCCGUGUCAGCAGCCGCGGUAAAUACGGAGGGUGCAAGCGUUAAUCGGAAUUACUGGGCGUAAAGCGCACGCAGGCGGUCUGUCAAGUCGGAUGUGAAAUCCCCGGGCUCACCUGGGAACUGCAUCCGAAACUGGCAGGCUAGAGUCUUGUAGAGGGGGUAGAAUUCCAGGUGUAGCGGUGAAAUUGCGUAGAGAUCUGGAGGAAUACCGGUGGCGAAGGCGGCCCCCCCCUGGACAAAGACUGACGCUCAGGUGCGAAAGCGUGGGAGCAAACA